GACGAACGCUGGCGGCGUGCUUAACACAUGCAAGUCGAACGGUGACCUCGAGAGCUUGCUCUCGAGUGAUCAGUGGCGAACGGGUGAGUAACACGUGAGUAACCUGCCCCAGACUCUGGAAUAACCCCGGGAAACCGGAGCUAAUACCGGAUACGAGACGGAGUCGCAUGGCUACCGUCUGGAAAGUUUUUCGGUCUGGGAGGGACUCGCGGCCUAUCAGCUUGUUGGUGAGGUAACGGCUCACCAAGGCGACGACGGGUAGCCGGCCUGAGAGGGCGACCGGCCACACUGGGACUGAGACACGGCCCAGACUCCUACGGGAGGCAGCAGUGGGGAAUAUUGCACAAUGGGCGAAAGCCUGAUGCAGCGACGCCGCGUGAGGGAUGACGGCCUUCGGGUUGUAAACCUCUUUCAGCAGGGAAGAAGCGAAAGUGACGGUACCUGCAGAAGAAGCACCGGCUAACUACGUGCCAGCAGCCGCAGUAAUAC
rnacentral:rRNA from 1 species